rnacentral:rRNA from 1 species
UGAGUAACCUGCCCUUAACUCUGGGAUAAGCCUGGGAAACUGGGUCUAAUACCGGAUAUGACUCCUCAUCGCAUGGUGGGGGGUUGGAAAGCUUUAUUGUGGUUUUGGAUGGACUCGCGGCCUAUCAGCUUGUUGGUGAAGUAAUGGCUCACCAAGGCGACGACGGGUAGCCGGCCUGAGAGGGUGACCGGCCACACUGGGACUGAGACACGGCCCAGACUCCGUACGGGAGGCAG